GGAGACCUGGCGAGUCGUCGAGGUCUCGACGUCGAUACAGGCUCCGACAACGGUGGACUCACGCCAGGGUCCACGGCCACCAUGACGUCCUCGCGGAGAGGAGCUUCUAGGGCCAGUGACGAGUACUCCCAAUCCAUUGCCACAUCUCGGAGGUCAACGUCCAAGCGUUUCUUGUCGCAUGACUUCAAAAUCGAAGAGCUCAGAAACGAAAUCAAAGACUUGGAACGAAGGCUUAAGGAAUCCGAGUAUGAGAAUAAGGCACUCCAAAGGAUCCAGACGCGACAGGAG